CACCUUUUAAACAACAUUAAGCAUUUUUCUAUCGAACCAAAAAUCAACAAUUUUAACACUGAAAUAUGAUACUCCCAACUAGCUAUACACAUCCAGAAUUAUACAUCACAUAAGAAGAUGCUGCAUUUUGUUGUAUGUAUCAAUAAUAUCACAUUAUUCACAUUCUAUACUGUUACUGUAAAAAAAUCAUACACAAACAAAC
rnacentral:lncRNA from 1 species